rnacentral:ncRNA from 1 species
UCCCUGGUUGAUCCUGCCAGUAGUCAUAUGCUUGUCUCAAUAGAUUAAGCCAUGCAUGUCUCAGUGCAAGCCGCAUUAAGGUGAAACCGCGAAAGGCUCAUUAAAUCAGUUGUGGUUCCUUAGAUCGUACCCAAGUUACUUGGAUAACUGUGGUAAUUCUAGAGCUAAUACAUGCCGACAGAGUUCCGACCGUCGCGGCGCCCUCGGGCGUCGCUCGCGGGAGGAACGCUUUUAUUAGAUCAAAACCGGCCCGUCGCGGCGCGCUUCGUGCGCGUCCCGAUCGCGGCCCGCGCAAAGACCUGGUGACUCUGAAUAACUUCGAGCUGAUCGCACGGUCUCCGUACCGGCGACGCAUCUUUCAAAUGUCUGCCUUAUCAACUGUCGAUGGUAGGUUCCAUGCCUACCAUGGUGGUAACGGGUAACGGGGAAUCAGGGUUCGAUUCCGGAGAGGGAGCCUGAGAAACGGCUACCACAUCCAAGGAAGGCAGCAGGCGCGCAAAUUACCCACUCCCGGAACGGGGAGGUAGUGACGAAAAAUAACGAUACGGGACUCAUCCGAGGCCCCGUAAUCGGAAUG